CCACGCUGCGGCAAUCAGCUAUGGGCUGCUCAGAUGGACUUCGCUGCCAACAUUGAGCGUCUGCUAUGUGCCAAGACCCUUGGAUGGAUGUUUUGUGCCCAUCAUCCUUGAUACUCACCUAACACAAUAAGACUGGAUUUAAUCUUGUCGGAUAUUUGAGGAGAAUCAGAGCAGCAAGGUGGUGGUCACAUGUUCAAGUGGACCUGGGGCUUCAAGGAGUUGGGGCUUGGGGAAGGACAUACCACACUGAUCCAAGCCUACCCAAGCCUACUGCCAGCUCCACGUUGCUCCCAGCCUCUGGUGUCUGUGGCACACACCUCCCCUCGCGACCUCUCAUCUCUUUGGACGCCUCAUUGUUUUGACCUGACCUGGUUCCUGUCUCCUACUCUGGCAUAUUUACCAAGUUUUCCAUGUCUUAAAAGUCUAGUUCUGCUGCAAAUAGCCUGGCUCUCUGGCUAAAGUCCCAGAAAGCCUUUCAUCCACCCACACAACUGCUCAGUGACCUGAAUGCACCAGAGUUUUAGGAGCCUGAGAUGGAAGGACAAGUAAUUAAUUGUGAGAUUGUAUGAAACAGUCUCUCCAAAUGCAACACAGUCAAGGAGUCAGGGGUAUUUAGCCCUUUUCGGUUAUUUGUAUGUAAAGUAAAGUGGUCACCACUUCCAUCAAUGGUAAUUAAUAUUUCCUGAGUGCUUAUCAGUAGCAUGGCAGUAUAUUAAGUCUGCCUGGGGCUUUUCACAGCAUAGAGGAUGUGAAAGUUCUGGUCUCAAUGAACAUCCAGUAAUAAGCAAGACAAGGCAAUUAAUUAGCAACUACUUAUGGAGUGCCUAGUUAGGCUCAGCAUUUUGCUAGAAGGUGUAUACACAACUCAGUAAUCAUAGGAAAGACCCUUGCCCAGCAGAGAGACUAUCUCCCGAAGCCCUCAGUCUGGCUCUUGGAGGAGUCAGGGGAGGUAGAGAAUUUGCUUCUGGACCUUGAGCCCCUGGGCCGCGGUUGUCACCCUGGCACUAGAAACUGUCAGUGGUUUCCAGCCAGGGGUAAGACGUCCCCCCAGGGAUGUUUGAGAAUGUGUGGGAGCAGUUCUUAUUGGUUCUUGGUUAUUACAAAUGAGCAUUUGCUGUGUGGGGCCCAGGAUGGGGACUCCAAGGUGCUAGAAGUGCUUCCCCACCGAGAACUUUCUUACGAUGCCAGUGCACCCCUGCUGAAAGCUGACAGAGUAAAAACUGUGAAAAUACUUAAAAGGUUGAGGAUUUCUCACUUUAUUUCCUUCCCACGUACUUUGGGAAACUGGUGAGGAGGGGUAGCACAGAGACAGGGCAGUAGUCAGGUUAACUCCAAUUCUCCAAACCUGAGAACCUCGGGCAUUUGAGAUUAAGUCCUAGUGUGCAGAGAAAA